CCGAGUGAAGCCAACUGGUUGGAGGCGCGUGUCUUAUAAACAUGAUAUGGUUGGGUUCGAUUCCCACCACUCGGA
rnacentral:tRNA from 1 species